CUACGGGACGCAGCAGUGAGGAAUAUUGCACAAUGGGGGGAACCCUGAUGCAGCAACGCCGCGUGGAGGAUGACGCAUUUCGGUGUGUAAACUCCUUUUAUAUGUCAAGAAAAUGACGGUAGCAUAUGAAUAAGCACCGGCUAACUCCGUGCCAGCAGCCGCGGUAAUACGGAAGGUGCAAGCGUUACUCGGAAUCACUGGGCGUAAAGGACGCGUAGGCGGGUUGGAAAGUCAGGUGUGAAAUCCUACAGCUUAACUGUAGAACUGCACUUGAAACUUCUAAUCUAGAGUAUGGGAGGGGGAGAUGGAAUUAGUGGUGUAGGGGUAAAAUCCGUAGAUAUCACUAGGAAUACCUAAAGCGAAGGCGAUCUCCUAGAACAUUACUGACGCUAAGGCGUGAAAGCGUGGGGAGCAAACAGGAUUAGAUACCCCAGUAGUC
rnacentral:rRNA from 1 species